CGGGGUGUAGCGCAGCCCGGUAGCGCACCUGCUUUGGGAGCAGGGGGUCCCAGGUUCGAAUCCUGGUACCCCGA
rnacentral:tRNA from 1 species